AUGCCUUACACAUGCAAGUCGAACGGCAGCGGGGGUAGCUUGCUACCUGCCGGCGAGUGGCGAACGGGUGAGUAAUACAUCGGAACGUGCCCUGUAGUGGGGGAUAACUAGUCGAAAGACUGGCUAAUACCGCAUACGACCUGAGGGUGAAAGUGGGGGACCGCAAGGCCUCAUGCUAUAGGAGCGGCCGAUGUCUGAUUAGCUAGUUGGUGGGGUAAAGGCCUACCAAGGCGACGAUCAGUAGCUGGUCUGAGAGGACGAUCAGCCACACUGGGACUGAGACACGGCCCAG
rnacentral:rRNA from 1 species